UCUGAGCCGAGAUGUCAGUAGCCACACACCACAGGAGUGACAGAUUCUACUGCUUAAGUCUAGGUUAGUUCAUUUUUAAAAAAAAAGAAAGAGGGGCCAGGCCUGGUGGCUCAUGCCUGUAAUCCCAGCACUUUGGGAGGCCAAGGUAGACGGAUCACCUGAGGUCAGGAAUUCAUUACCAGCCUGGCCAACAUGGUGAAACCCCACCUCUAUUUAAAAAAAAAAAUUAACUGAGUACAGUGGCACUCACCUGUAAUCCCAGCUACUUGGGAGGCUGAGGCAGGAGAAUCACUUGGAGUUGGAACUCGGGAGGUGGAGGUUGCCGUGAGCCCAGAUGGUGCCACAGCACUCUAGCCUGGGUGACAGAGCAAUACUCUGGAAAAAAAAUGGUGGGGAGGUAAACAAAAAAUCUUCCAAUAAUAAAAAACCUCAGGAGAAAAACAAAAAAUGAAAAUUAGAAUCAGAAUUGCUGUAUUAUCAAAAAUGUCCAAUUUUCAAUAAAAAAUUAUAAGACAUGCUAAAAAGCAGAAAAGCAUGAACCAUACUCAAGGGAGAAAAAAAGCAGUCAAUGGAAAUAAACUGUGAGAGGGCCUAUAAUUGGAUUUAGCAGACAGCCACUGUAUAAAGAACCAACAGAGAAUAUGACAAUGACUCAAUAUGUAGAGAAUAUCCAUAAAGAAAUCAAAUCUGUUUAAAAGCACCAGAUAAAAAUUUUUAAUACCUUGUGUUAAGAUUAUUUACUGUAUUUUGCGCUCCACAUGAGCUCACUUUCUGGAUAAUUGCAAAGUUAAGUAAUCGCCUGGAAAAGGUAAACAUUUUUAAAGUUCUUAAAAGGAGGCUUAACUUACUUGAUACAACGGCAAUAAAAUAGCAGUUUGAAUCAACAUACAAUCUUUCUUGUAUCUAUCAGAUGAUGUCAUGCAGAACUGCCAACACACACUUUUUGAUGUAAGACUUUCUCAAUAUACUUCAUUCAUAAUCAGA